rnacentral:sRNA from 10 species
AAAGUUGAAUAUGGGUUCUAAAAUAUUCUCAACAGGACGAGGGAGAAAUAACCCUCAAAUGAUAUGGAUAGUGAUUGCAUCUGCUCCAUAUUGUUACCGAAGUU